rnacentral:lncRNA from 1 species
UUAUUAAGUGGGAUCAUGUAUGACUUUAAUCCUAGCGCCCAAGAGGUAGAAUCAGGAGGAUUAGGAGUUCAAUAUCUGCUUCUCCAACACAACAAGUUUGACAUGAGUAGGCUACAUGGGACUCUGUUUCAAAGCAUCAAACUAACAAAAAGUAGUUCUUGAAUCAGCAGUCUGCUGAUGAAAUGCAUUCAUUUGUUUGCACAUGUAUAUUAGUGUUGGUUCUUGUUUUUUUUUUUUUUUUUUUUUGCGUUAAACUAGAUUAGAAUAGAGGUUUACAGCUCAUAAGUUCACAUUGGUUGGGUUGGGAGCAUAUUCCUGUGAAAGCCCUAGCAGAGAGUUUUCUUUCUCCUUUUGGUGGUUUGCUGGGCAUCAUUAGCAUUUCAUGUUUAACUAUAUUCUUACGUGGCCAUCACUUCGUAAAGAUGCCCAUCAUACAUAAGCAAGAGUUUUCCAUAUAAACUAAUUAUUACUAUUCUUACGUACCUGUGUUUUUAUGAGUUUUCCUCAUUGCAUAGUCCACAUUGCAUAGUGGAGAGGAUCAGAGCAGCCAUCUUGCAAGGGAAAUUGCUCAGGUUUGGUUUGCUGUUCGUUUUGUUUUGUUUUGUUUUGUUUUGUUUGUUUUUGAUAAGACAUCUAUUUUAUCAGCACUCAGGAAACUAAAGUUGAACUUAUGGUGUCAUCAAGCAAUGGAGGCCUGGAUAAUAAGGUCUUAGUUUAAGGGAGCCCCGGCCUGUGAAAUUACUUUCCAGGAAGAACUGGAAUCGCCCUUUGGGUAUUCCCCUCUGCACAUCUGCACAUCUGCUUUUACAGUCUUACCAUUUUCUCUUCCAUGUGAGCUUUCACACUUCACUGUGUUCGGUCAGCUGAGUUACAGUUCACACCUUUGCAAUUCAGACCUGUCUGAUUUGCACAUUUGUCCUGAGAUUCAUUGUGAGUUGCUUUUAUGGUUUAACUGUGAAGGUGACAACUCUUUCCCUAAUUCUUAAAAUUCCCUGAUUCUUUUAACAUCUUUUACAAACAUCAUUGGUUUUCACACAGUUUCAAGAAAAGAAUGGCUCACUGUGAAGGCUUGCCUUUUAUUCGUCAGCAGGAUCAUGUCUGCAAACUCAUGUAGCAAAUACGGAGUAUUUUCAGAAUAAUCAUUAUUGAAGUAGAUUGUAAGAAUUAGCCCACAAGAAAAGAAUAGUUUGUCUUCAAGUAGCUUAAAGUCUAGAUUUUAAAUUAUGUGUUGGGGCUGGGGUGAUGGUUCCUUUGCUAAGCAAUGAAGUGGAUUAGGGCUCAGUGCUUAAAACCCUCAUGGUUGCAGGGCAGAUGUGGCAACUCUUUGAUAAUUCCAUUCAUGGAAGGCUGAAGCAGGGUAUCCCUGAAGCAAGUGAACAAGAAGCCAUCUCUGUCAGUGAUUCCUUGAUAGAAACCCCCCCUUAAAGAAUAAUUUGGGAGAGCACUUGAAUAAAGAGUUCUGACAUCAGCCAUGUAUAGAUGCUUGGAACUCCACACAUAUGAACAUCUGUACACAUAUAUAUGCAUGAACACUGUAUAUAAAAUGCUAAGCCAAGGAUGAUUGCUUAUGCCUAUAAUCACAUGGUGGAUUUGAACCCCUGAUCCUCUUUGCCCUCUAUCUACUCAGUGUGGGGAUUCCACAAAUGUGCCAUGUAUCCCUGGCUAAGUUUACUUCUAUUCCAAGAGAUACCCAUGUGUCAUGUAACAUGGGAGACAAGGUCUUAACUGGGCCUGGAAGGAAAAGAAGGAUAGAAGACAGGAGUCACACCAGAAAGACAAGUGAAGACAUUUACAGAGAGGCAAAAAUGAGAUUUGCUUGUGUCAUUUAGGUGUUUUCUGGCUCUCCUGUAAGCAUCUGGAAUCCAUGUUUAUAGCUUUUAUAAGGACAUAUGGAGGAACCGUGCAUAGAUUUUCAUGUCAUAAUUGUGAAAUUAUGGGAAUGAAAACUGAUUUAAAUGGAAUAUCUGUAUAAUAUAUAAUCCUAUAAAUACAAGGGCUGUUAAUGGAACUAUAGGUAAAACCCAAUCUUUAAGCAUCUUGAUAAAGGAGUUAUAACUCUAUAUUCC